rnacentral:rRNA from 1 species
CCCCCCUCAAGAUGAGAUUUCCCAACUUCGGUUAUAAGAUCCCUCAAAGAUGAUGAGGUUAAUAGGUUCGAGGUGGAAGCAUGGUGACAUAUGGAGCUGACGAAUACUAAUCGAUCGAAGACUUAAUCAAAUU